GAACUGGCGCCCAUAUGGGAUCCCGGCGUGUUCAAGGUGAGGACUUUAGCUGCUAGGCCACACUGCCGGGCCCCAGAUCAUAUCAUUUUUAAUAAAGCACAUGGGAGAAUGCAAUUAAUUAACAUGGAGCUAGAUAAGAUUUUACUGUAUCAUUUUAUCUUCCUCAGUAUUCCUAUAUUCUUCAUUUGAAUAAAAAACCUCAUUCUGAGAAUACCUGUUCAUUUUCUGUGUAAAGAUAUAUUAUUAAAUCCUAAGUCUUAAUGAGUGACUCACUCUUUAAGGAAAUGCUGGCUCUCGAAAUAUUUGUAGCAAGAUUUGUUUAAUUCUGCGAAUAUGUAUGUAGACUUUGGAAUUUUGGAUAUUCUGAAAGUGAGCUCCCUUGGGAGAAGCUGAUAAAUGGAUCUAUUUUGACUCAGUCUACUCAUGUAUAACUUGCUCUAUAACCCAGACCCAAUACUUUUUUGGGGUUGGUUAGGUUGCAUUUUUUCAAAUGUAUAUUUGUGUGGUGAAAGUGUUGGAGGUGUUUAACUGAACAGUUCUUCCUGGAGAAUAAAUUAUAAAACAAGUCCUUAUUACUGUGUAUAAGAUAACGAUUUCUAGGGAUUUUUUUUUUCCAUUAAAAAUAUGCUGGGCAUAUUUCUUAUUUCAAAUAGGCUUUUCCCUCUUUGCAGUGUUUUCAUUUAGCUAUGUAUUAUUACUGAGUAGUAAUUUAGAGAUGAAGAAAAACUGGGAAAUUUGGAAAAAUCGGAUUUUGUUUAUAAUUUCUAACAAAGGUAACCUAAUAUUUUUACUAUUGUACUAAUCUAGAAAUGUUUGAUUAUUUUUGCUGUUUAUUUUCACUAUAUAGUUGAAAAAGAAUGACUUAUGAAGAAAAUGUUUUUUCCUAAACUAUAAUAGUAUUGUUUAUAUAAUUUGAAAGCACUUCUGUAGCUCCUGUUUGCGCUAUGCAAGCGUUCCCUGCGGUAACUCUAACAUAAUGUUAAGUCUGUCUCAUGUGGAGGAGCUGCCCCUUAAGAACUGCACUGUGGUUCAUUGUUAAUCAUUUUUUUUUUUUGACUCUUGAAAAGACUUUCAGAUCUUUUUUUUUUUCUGAUUUGUGCUUCUUUCCUCUUGUCAUCCCUCACAUACCUCCUCAGUAUGAUAAUUCUGUAAGAUACUUUUAAAAAACCUGACCUAAAAAUAAGGGUUUCUUCAACACUGAGAGACUUCAGGACUUAAAAUCCGCUGGAAACUAACGAUGAAAAAAAAAAGUAGCUGUCAGAUCAUAGCAGACUUGCACAGUUAUCUGUUUGAUACCUUAUGCUGAAUGGUAAUUUCAGCUGCUGCUUUCAUAUUUCUUUUUUCAUUUCUUUCCUUUCACUUUUGGAAAUCGUAGAUUUGAUGGUGAAAUUUACAGGUUUUUCAUUUUUUAGGCCAAACUGUUUUGAUUUCUCAUGUGUGUAGAAUUGGAUAAUUUUUCUAACCAGGUGUUUGGCUUGUUCUUUUCAUCUUUUAGGCUUUUAAAAUUUAGUCUGAAUGUUGUUAGGUAAUGGAAUAACCAUUCCUUUUCAGCUUUUGCUAUAUUCCAAACUGGCUGCCAGAGCCAGGAACAAGUGAAGGCAUAAAACACUAACUUUGGUUGAUUGCUACCUUCUUAGUGCUGAGAUAAAACCUUUGUUGGUUGAUUGAUAGAGAUCAAGAGAGCACAAGCCUCGUUCCACUAACAGGUAAGGAUUCUUUGUCAUAAACAGUUGCUGUGAGAGGGAGAUUAUGUGAUAGCAUUUUAUCCUUAGUAUAGGACACUGUGACAUCAAACUAUUCCAUAGCUAGGGUAUGUAGCACCUUUACAUUUAGAACAAUAAAUGAGAUUUAAUAGGGUUGUUUCACCAAGUAUAAUUGGUCUGUUUUCCAAAGGUAGUACUGUUCAAUUUUGUCCUGCAGACCUGUAACUGUAAAUAUGUACCUCCAUAUCUUAUUCUCCUUUCAGCUUUUCCUUGAUCAGAUACUGUGUACUUUGAACUUCCUUCUCCUCUCCAUUUACCUUUUUAUAAUAAAGCUUAACUAUUUUCUGGUAUCUUUGCCAUCAUCUGUUAUUUGAGUAUAUCUUACUGCUUUAAUUUCUACAUUGUAUAGCCACUUAAUGAUCAUUCAUGGUCCUUCUUGACCCAAGGUAAAAAUGAUCAUGCAUUUUUAAAAGGGUUUUGAAUCUGCAUUAUCUGUGUCUGCUAUUCUGCCCUCCCAAGUUUAAAGAUAAGUGAUUUGAAGAAUCAGUUUUUUCAUGACAGUAAUCAUAGCUUUGAUGAAAUGCAAGUUGAGCUUUUUGUUGCUAUAAUAUGGACCUAGAGUGAUGAAUUCUUUAAAUGACCACUGAUUUGAAAACCUAGAAACAAAUUCAAUUUCUUAGAUACUCCCGAAGUUUAGUUGUAUUCCCGUUAAUAUGCUUCAUUGCCCUGUUUCUGCUUUUCAUUCCAUCAUCUUCUCUUUGAUAGAAGAAUUAACUGGGACUCCUCCUUUGGCGUCUCCGAGGUUGAGUGCCUUUUCCCUGUCCCCUUACGACAGCUAUGAUCUUAUUUCCAGUCAUAAUUUAUUAUUUUUUGGUUCAGUCUUCCACUCGAUGUUGAGUGGUUUGUCACAGAGUGUGUUAUGGCUUAAACCAAUACAGGUCCCUUCUUAAUUGUUCUGAAAAAUUAAACAUUUGUGUUGACAGAUUUUUAAAAUUCGAAUUAAGAAGGCAUUAAGGAAAGCAUACCUGAAGGUAGCUCCUUUUUAAUCCUGAGGAUAAGCCAUUACAAACUCAAAUGACCAGAUAAUGUAAUUUCUUAAUAAGAAGUUUUUCUUAAAUCUAUAUUCAGCUCUCUAUUUCAGUGCUUCUCUCCUACCAGAGGUGCAAGGAGUGAUCCUAGAACCACAGAUUCAGCCAAGACCACGGAGAGCUUUUGACGUCAGGGGUCCUCUUUCUCCACUGAACCCUUGGAGACAGAAUAUCCAGCUUCUGGAGAGAGUGGGAAAGGAUAAUAAACAAGUAUCUUGAUAAUGGGAGACCGGUUUAUUCUCUAAUUGCCCAGAUUUCUUUCAACUGGUAAAACAUCAUACUUCUUCAGCAAAAGGAAUUCUUCUAGCAGAGCCUUCAUGGAUGAUAUCUGUCACACAUGCCAGCAUCUGCAGUGGAAGGCAGUGGUGAAUGGAUCCAUGCAGUAUGUCUAGAAGACACAAGAAUGAGCCAGCCACCUGAUCUUGUCAUUUAUAAACUUUUAAGAUUUACUCUGGUUUAUUUACUCUUGGUCUGAACAUGGAAAGGCUCAAGUAAUCUUUUCAUAUUGGAAUUUUACAUGGCCAUGAAAAUAUUUCUUUCUAUUCAGAAGACUGACAUAGAGGAAGCUUGAGAGACUUCUUUCUUUAAAGCAGCUCUCUGUAUCUGUUCCAUUAAAAGAAUUUAUGAGAUUGAAAAUCACCUUGAUAAAGUAGGCAAGUAGUAUAGGAAAUCCAGAGAACAAAAAGAAAUGGUUUUUUGUUAACUUACACUGAAAGAAGCUGGUAAAUCAAAGGUGAACUUCUUAAUUAUUCCAAAAGCAUUUUUAAUACUAGCCUGUGCUCUUUAGCUCAUCUUUUGCUGAUCUUGAGCCUUAUUCUUAUUCUAUUUCUCAAAUCAACAAAAUCUAGUAUAGAAACACAAGAGACAUUUUAAAAGUAGCUUGAUCUGUCUUUUGAAAUCAUUAAUACCUGUUAAACUUGAGGUAUUGUUCCAAACUAAAGGCACAUUAAAAUUUGAAUGAUAGUGUCACAUAGCAGCAGUGAAUGGAGCAUUGAGGAUCAGUAGCAUUAGAAGAAGCUCAUGGGUGUAACUAAAUGUUAUAAAUUAGUUACCCAAACUGUCAAUAAUUGAUUGAAGCAGUUACCAAAAUGUUUUAUUUCUGUCUUUUAUCUUUUAACUGGUCAGUCAAAAGCUAUUAAAGAAACUUUUCAAAGUAAUCUAAUGCUGCCAGUUUGUUUUGUUUUGAUACAAAUUUUAAGAAUGAAAUCAUUAAAUUAUUAAUAUGACUGCAAGUAAGAUGUCUUAAAAAUCUCAAAGAUUUUUAGAAGCCACAUUUGCCAAAGUUCCUUACUUUUUCUUGGCUGUCCACGAGAAAUACCUUUUCGUUAUCAAUUUAAAAAUUUUCUUAGUACUUAAAAAUAAGUUUAAAAGGUUAGUUUGAACUAAAAUUUUCUUAGAGAGUUCUGAAUUACAGCUUUUCGUUACUGAUUUCUGUUAAAUAUUUAUUGAUUUACAAAUUAAAAAAACAGCUGCCCAACAUGUUAAAAAGAACUUAGGGAACUGAAAGUGAGAUUUACUUAGAAAUUAAGUUGGUUGAGUUCUUUGAACCACAGAACAAAACCAUUUUAUGGCCUGUGAGAUUAUUAGCUUUUUGUUUUAGCUUUGAAGAUGAAAAGUGAGUUAAUCUUUUAAUCUCAUGCUUUGAUGAAACUUUAGCGUUGUUCUUUUUAAAGUGUACAAAAGAAAUGUAAGUGCAUUUCUAUUUACCUCAUGCCACUAAAGCUAUUUAAAAGUGAAACAUUUUUGUAUAUUAUUGUGAACUGAUUUGUUUAUUUAAACUUUUAUUUUGAUGCAUUUUACUUUUAGUUUUUUUAUAUUUCGUGUCACAAUAUGCAUUUUUCGAUGUUUAUUUUAUGAAUAUUAACAUAAGCUAUUUUUUUCUAGAAUGAUUGUGUAAUAUUUGUAUUUGUGAUCAUUUGAAAACUAAUAAAUAUUUUGUCCAUGAAAAAAUGCACUUACUGAUAAAUGGCUUAUUUCUGUUUCAGCAGUAGAAAGUGAAAAUUGCAACAACAUUUUUAAGUGUAUUUUAAUUUUAUGUGUGUUCCGCUAAGCAUUUCUGAAUAUAAAUUAUGUCCUUUGUAUGUAACGGUUUUUUGGUUUUUUUUGAGAAAAAAUUUUUGAAACUAAAAAUGAUUCUUUAUGGGGGUCACCAUGUGAAUGUAUAUGACAUAGGUGAUCUGUUUAAUCUAUUUUUACAUUUUCUUAAUUGCAUUGUCUUAGCUUUGUUUCUGGAAUUGGAUUUUUUUAGAUACCGUUUUUAUACGUCAGUUUUAUAAACCAUUAAAAUUCGAGUUUGUAUUGUAGGUGUCAGGGAUAAUUUGGUCAAAUCUUUUAAAAAUAGGUUAGUCAAAUUAUAUCCCCUUACAAAAUGGCAGACAAGAACAGUUCUACCCAGAAAAAGAACAUUUGAAAAUGGUGGGUGAUUGGGGGACCACCCAACUGAUAACAACUACUUGCAAGAGGAUUGUUUGCUGUGUGAAUGUUCUGCUAGAACAGAUGGCUAGAAAAAUGAGAAAUCUUGACUUCUGAAUCUCUUGAGUAUUAUCAAAAUAGCAGAGGAAAGGGUAAAUUUUGGUUUUAGUGAUGUCUUUACAGCUACAUAAGCUUUACCCCAAUGUCACUUUGUCCUUUAUAUAGGACACCUAUGAAAAUUUGAGUGCUGAGGGUAACUUUCAGAUAAAUGUGUCAUUGAAGCACUUGCAAAAUAAUUGAAUGCUUGGAACAUAAUGGGUUAAUUGGGGUUGGUGGAAUAAUGCACCUUUUCUGUGUAGGAUCUGCUAGAAGCAAGGGGAUUUCCUUUUGAAUUUGGAGAAAAGUUAUAAAAAAAUAAACUUCAAAAAUUAAAAGUAAACACCUGGAUGGAUGUUAGGCAAGAAAUAAAAGUUGAAUUAAUGACACCCUGUGGCUUAAGAUGGUGAAAGUUGGUCCCCCCCCCCCAAAAUU